rnacentral:rRNA from 1 species
UACGUAGGGUGCAAGCGUUUAAUCGGAAUUACUGGGCGUAAAGCGUGCGCAGGCGGUUAUAUAAGACAGUUGUGAAAUCCCCGGGCUCAACCUGGGAACUGCAUCUGUGACUGUAUAGCUAGAGUACGGUAGAGGGGGAUGGAAUUCCGCGUGUAGCAGUGAAAUGCGUAGAUAUGCGGAGGAACAUCGAUGGCGAAGGCAAUCCCCUGGACCUGUACUGACGCUCAUGCACGAAAGCGUGGGGAGCAAACAGG